UACGUAGGGGGCUAGCGUUAUCCGGAAUUACUGGGCGUAAAGGGUGCGUAGGUGGUUUCUUAAGUCAGAGGUGAAAGGCUACGGCUCAACCGUAGUAAGCCUUUGAAACUGGGAAACUUGAGUGCAGGAGAGGAGAGUGGAAUUCCUAGUGUAGCGGUGAAAUGCGUAGAUAUUAGGAGGAACACCAGUGGCGAAGGCGACUUUCUGGACUGUAACUGACACUGAGGCACGAAAGCGUGGGGAGCAAACAGGAUUAGAUACCCUGGUAGUCCCUGAGCGGG
rnacentral:rRNA from 1 species